UACGUAGGGUGCAAGCGUUAAUCGGAUUUACUGGGCGUAAAGGGCGCGUAGGCGGCCACGACAAGUCAGUUGUGAAAUCUCUCGGCUUAACCGAGAGCGGUCAACUGAUACUGUCGGGCUAGAGUGCAGAAGGGGCAACUGGAAUUCUCGGUGUAGCGGUGAAAUGCGUAGAUAUCGAGAGGAACACCUGCGGCGAAGGCGGGUUGCUGGGCUGACACUGACGCUGAGGCGCGAAAGCUAGGGGAGCGAACGGG
rnacentral:rRNA from 1 species